rnacentral:rRNA from 1 species
UGGGGAAUUUUGGACAAUGGGCGAAAGCCUGAUCCAGCAAUGCCGCGUGUGUGAAGAAGGCCUUCGGGUUGUAAAGCACUUUUGUCCGGAAAGAAAUCCUCUGGGUUAAUACCUCGGGGGGAUGACGGUACCGGAAGAAUAAGCACCGGCUAACUACGUGCCAGCAGCCGCGGUAAUACGUAGGGUGCAAGCGUUAAUCGGAAUUACUGGGCGUAAAGCGUGCGCAGGCGGUUUUGUAAGACGGAUGUGGAAUCCCCGGGCUUAACCUGGGAACUGCAUUCGUGACUGCAAGGCUAGAGUAUGGCAGAGGGGGGUAGAAUUCCACGUGUAGCAGUGAGAUGCGUAGAGAUGUGGAGGAAUACCGAUGGCGAAGGCAGCCCCCUGGGCCAAUACUGACGCUCAUGCACGAAAGCGUGGGGAGCAAACA